UAAUACGGAGGGGGCUAGCGUUGUUCGGAAUUACUGGGCGUAAAGGGCGUGUAGGCGGCUUCGACAGUCAGGCGUGAAAGCCCCGGGCUUAACCUGGGAAUUGCGCUUGAUACAUCGAGGCUAGAGUUCGGGAGAGGAGAGUGGAAUUCCCAGUGUAGAGGUGAAAUUCGUAGAUAUUGGGAAGAACACCAGUGGCGAAGGCGGCUCUCUGGACCGAUACUGACGCUAAGGCGCGAAAGCGUGGGGAGCAAACAGGAUUAGAUACCCUGGUAGUCCACGCCGUAAACGAUGUGUGCUAGACGUUGGGGGUUAGGCCCUCGGUGUCGCAGCUAACGCAUUAAGCACACCGCCUGGGGAGUACGGCCGCAAGGUUA
rnacentral:rRNA from 1 species